rnacentral:sRNA from 1 species
UUGUGAUUGAUUUAAUAAUAAUGUUGGU